AAACCAACAGGGAUUGCCCUAGUAACGGCGAGUGAAGCGGCAACAGCUCAAAUUUGAAAUCUGGCUCUUUUAGAGUCCGAGUUGUAAUUUGCAGAGGGCGCUUUGGCUUUGGCAGCGGUCCAAG
rnacentral:rRNA from 1 species